CUAAGGGAAUGUUGAGGAAUUAAGCAAACAAUUAGAAGACUUGGAAACAUUUCACAUCACGUAUACAUGAUCCAUCCAAUGCGUAACAUGCUUGGUCUUCCUUUCCUUUUUUUUCUGUCCCGGAUGCCAAAUUGUGGACACGACAAUUAGUCACCUUUGUCCACAUAUUGCCUAUUUUUGUUUGUCCUUUUCCAAGUAUUUGCCUCAAUUUCUUUACAAUGAAGCAAUAAAACAUCAAACUAAUGACCAACAGCAGUGGCGCAGUGAAAAGGAGCGACCCAACCUACUUAUAUAUUGAGGAUUUGAUUCUGGGUAUAGAUAAACAUUCUGUUGGGAGUUUUUUUCCUCCAAAUGGGGUUUGAUGCGGGGCGAAUCCAGAUAUAAUCGGACUCUUAAAAAACGGAUACUGAAUACCAGGUGGUUUAAACCAAAAAACGAAGAUCAAACUAAUGAGAUACACGUGAGGAGAACUACAAAAAGAAUCUGACGUUUAUCAACAUAACUAGAUAUUCACCGUUCGUGAUAGUACGGGCUCA
rnacentral:lncRNA from 1 species